GUGAAUUCUUGGUGCUGCAUGGACUCCUGGUUCAUCUGUACUUUGUCCUUUGCCAUAGGUCCUGCCCUAUGCCUGGAUGCCUCUGUGCCCUGCUGGGGGACGCGAG
rfam:Otolemur garnettii contig010377, whole genome shotgun sequence.